rnacentral:tRNA from 1 species
GGGCGCUUAGCUCAGUCUGGCAGAGCACCUCGUUUACACCGAGGGGGUCGGCGGUUCAAACCCGUCAGCGCCCACCA